AGACAUUGAUUACAAAAUAAAUUGAAGUCAAUGCUGCAAUGAAAGAAAAAAUAAAACAAAAGUUGCCACUUCAUUUUUGUUUACAGUAUUUUUUCUACAUCACUAUGACAAAAAAUGUAACUGGACACAUAAUAUAUUUUGCAAUUUGUUUACAAUGAAUGAGCUUGAUAUAGAUCUACAUCAAGUAGAUUUAUACUGUAUAAAAUAUUUCUAAAAAAGGAAAUAUAUGACAAGGCUACAGUACUGUAAUUAUUGACAAAUGAAUUUCUAUUACAAUUCAAGAUCAAUUUAGUAAAGGAAAUGUUAUCCCUGUACUGCAUGCUGCUUUUGAAAUACAAUAAAUAGAUCUAGUACUGUGAUUGAAGAUGUCACCAUAGAUAAAUAUUAAAAUGCAUUUAUUAUUAUUAGCCCUUUGCCUUUGGUAGUAUCUACAAUAAAUCAUAUUAUAUUCACAUUACUCAUACCACAUAGCAUAUUCUACCAGCAGGGCUUCCAUUAAGUUCCAAACAUUGGCAGUCAAAGACUGCAAAAUGUCUGUAAUUGGAAGUCACUUUGUAGGUAAAGAAGGAAAAGCAUUACAUUUUGGAAGCCAAAAUCAAGGAGUAAAUGACUCCCAAACUUUAAUAACAGAAGCCCUGCUACCAGGAUAUUUUUAACAUUUAUGAGCCAGCACUUUUUGCUGAUGAAAUAUUUUGUGUUGUUGUUUUAGGUCUGACAGCCAACAUACAUUUAAGAUCUUCAACUUAGUUCAUCAGAGUUUUGAAGUAGAUAAUAUGAUUAUCCAGCAUGUUGGAGCCAUAUUCUUCAAGGAAAUGUACUGAAGACAUAGAUAGUUCACCUAUUUGCUGAUGAAUAUACUAAACUAUUGUUGGAAAUGAGGCACAAUGUGUGACAUAGUUCUAUGCCCUAUUUAGCACCAGGGUUAUGGAGUAAAAAAGACAAUCACUUGUAUCAACUGUACUGUAUUGGUCAAUAUAAAAAACACUUCAAUUGGGAUGGCAUGUGAGAAGUCAAUGACUUGUCUAUGUUUGACAGUAUACCAAAAGUGAAUUACAUUCUCAUAGAAUUUGUCUUUAGAAGUAUCCCUGAAAAAGCUGAAUACUGCAGUGGCAGAUGUUACAGUAUUUUUACUUAAUUGUGAAACAAGUUUUUGCAAGUUUUAUAUAUGAAUCACUUUUUGCUUACAAAAACUGAAGGCAUAUGAGGAGACAUAGUUGCUAUUACCCUGUUUGGGUCAAACCCUCAACAUGGGGUUGCAAGACUAUAAUUCAAGGACAUAAGUGAGCUGUCAUUUGUGACUUCCCAUGUGAUUGCAAGAAUCUGCUAUUGUAAUUGUUUUAAAUUCAUUGAAAUUAUUUCAAUUUAAAAAUAUACUAAUAUGCUAUUCAUAUUAUACAAUUUAAGAUACACUGAUCAGAAUAUGAUUACACUGUCAAUAUCUGUAACUGAAAAUUUAGUCAGGAACAUAACUAGUGCAAGCUCUUUCUAUUUUUUUUUGGUUAAAUUUCUGAAAGACUUUUGAAGUUAUUGUGAAAUGGAAUAUUUUUUUAUAAAAUGCAAUUAUUUUAAAUCAUUCAGUUAUUUUUGCAUUUUUUUUGUUACCAUGGCAACCAAAAUACACCAUUUUUGCAAUCAGUGCAUUAAAGAAUAUUUGUUUUGCAUUGGAUUCAUAUUUUAUAUGCUAUCAUGUUAUAAAUGUGCAUUUUAAAGUUGACUAACUUAAGUUAUGAUAUUAACCUAAAUCAUGGAAAAGUUACUGUAAUUCU